GCCUGGUUAUCUUAGUUGGAAAAGCAUGAGACUUUUAAUCUCUGGAUUGUGGGUUUGAGCCCCAUACUAGGUC